UCGUUUAUGUGAAAGUAUCCCAAAAUAAAGUAAACAGGAAAAUGUACUACUGUAAGUGUUGUCACUGGGUACUAGGACUAACACAACAUCGCAUUAAGCAAAAUAUGUAACCUAAUGAACAUCCGAAGAUUGUCCAAAACAAGUAUUAAUGUAAGUGUCAUCGCUGGGUACUAGGAGUAACACAAUCAUCGCAAUAAGCGAAAGGUAUAACCUAAUGAACAUCCGAAGAUUGUCCAAUUGUCCUCUGUAGCAGCAGCAGGUGGGUGGAAGGGUUAGUCCCAAUCGAUCUACCUAAUAUAAGUAGUAACCUUAGACCUCCGUAGAUGGUCAUCGACCACUGGUGCUAAUCAGUGGGGUUCGGAAUGGUAAGUCCCGCCGAGCUAUCCCAUUGAACCGAGAUAGGAAAGACAAUUUACACAGUAAGUACUAAUAAAUCAUCCUCGUAGUCCUAAGUACAAGUAUCCAGGUAAGUGAAUACAGGAUAAUGCACCUAUGUAAAAGUGUUCCUGUAUGGUAUUCAUGUAUGUGUGUCCAUGUAACAGGUAAGUAUAUGUAAACAUAUUCAUGUAUCAGGUAAACAUCUGUAAGUACUCAUGUAUCAGGUAAUGUACUAGUAUAGACUCAUGAAUGAACUGACUCUUGUGUGAUUCCUUGUAAUAGAAGUAAUGUUUGAUAUCUUCAAAUUAUCCCUAUGAUAAUUUACUGUAAUAUAACUGGUUGAUCAUGUAGGUUUAUACACUCUUACUACUCAAGGGUGUGGGAAACUAAAUGAAAGAUGUAAACUAUAACAUCAAUACAUAUAUAAGAAUAUAAGUGUAUAUGCAUAGUUUAGUUCAAGAAUGUAAAAUGGUUUUGUAAGACAUCUUAUUGGUUUUGAACAAUAAUUAACAAUGAGUUGAUGUCAUUUUAAUAAACAUUUCAAAAGUAAAACAUUUGAUAACAAAGUAUUUUUAAGAUUUAAAACCAUUUCAUGCAUCACAUUUUGUAGUAUGUGAAAUCUGUUAAAUGACAAACACAGUUAUAAAAUACAUAUCAAUGAUUUAAUAACAUGUUUGUUUCUACUUGUAUUCCCCCUUUUAAAGCAUUUAAAAUCAUUUAAAACAUUGAUUAGGGGUAUGAACUCACCUGUAGAUGUUGGUUCGGAUGAACUGGACGGUGUAGGAUUGUUAGGUGUCAAGUGACGACUUGUACACACACUACAAUCCUAAUGAACAUAUAAUCACACAUAUAUGCACUCAAUUAGUCUCAAAUCACUAAUUGAUAAUUUUAAGACAUCCUAGAGAUAAUAAACACUUUAUAUAAGUGUUUUAAGCCCUAAGGAUUGCAUCUAAGUUAUUGUGGGACAAGGCACUUGUGUUUAGGGUUCCAAAGGAGCCCAUAUAUAAGUUUACUCCCCAUAUACCAUCACACAUGGAGUUUACGGUUGUAAACUAUUGAGUUUACAGCCGUAAACUCCCAACCAUGGGUGUAUUGUGUGUUUUGAAGUGCCAAAUGAUUCCUUAAAUUAAUCCAACUUGGUGGUUAAAUUCUUGGAAGGGUUUAAGGCAUAGAAACACUCCUUAGAGGAGUUGACGGCCCUAAGGCCAUUUCCUUUGGAGUUUAUGGUUGUAAACUCCCUUGGAAUGUUGUUUUUGUUGUUUUCAUGCCUCAAGCACAAGCGGUAUAAGUUCUAGGCUUUUAUUCCAAGCAUAUGAAGACCCUUGACACACUUUGGUGCCCCUUUAAUGAGUUUACGGCCCAUGAACCAUGUCAUGGACGUAAACUCACUUUGCAAGGUGAUUCUUAUGUGUUUAAGGCCCUUGAUUUAUUGGGAACAAGUCUAGGUAAAACUCCAAGGCUUUAGGUGCCUUAAAAGCACCAUUUUGAGCUUGAAUUUGGAGUUCACGACCUAAGAUACUCUUGGGCCGUAAACUCCCAAACUUGGGUGAUUCUUGCUUGAUUGCAUGUCCUUAAUACACAUAUAAAUGAGUCUAUAGCAGUACCAUAACACAAGGGUCGGUCUCGACUUUGUUUCGGGAGUUUACCGCCCAAGAACACCUUGGGGAGUAAACUCCUAAAUCUAGUGAUUUAGCCUUCUAAAUCAUGUUAUAAACACAUAUUAAGCUUUCUAACACUACUAGAAAGGGGUACUCACGAUUUGGGAUAAAAACCCGAAGAUCCGUGAGAGAGAAAAUGGCUUUUCUCUAGUUGGAAAUGCGAAUAAUGAAUGAAUUUGGUUCAGAAUUCUAUUUAUAGUCCUGAGAUAUUUUUGGCAGAAAAUAUUUUUAUUCUUGAAAUGAUCUCUAAUAUAAUAGAGUGUUGGAAUAACAGUGUUGCACAAAACCCUAGUGCACCCACUCUCCUGAUAUUUCCUGAAGUGUAAACCCUGAAUUACUCAAACUUACGCGAAAAAGUCUGAAAAUUAACUGUGACUGCUAUAACUUCUAUUGAAGUGAUAUAGUUUGUACAUAAUGGAAAUUUUGGGUUGUCACAUCAUCCCCCCGUUAGAAGGAAUUUUGUCCCGAAAUUAGAAUUUAAGCAAUUAAGAAGUUACAAAUAACUAAGCGAAAAGGUGAGGGUAUUUCAGUUUCAUCUGAUCCUCACGUUCCCAAGUGAAUUCCGGUCCACGGUUUGCGUUCCAGCACACCUUCACUAUCGGGAUACGACUCUGCUUUGUUUGCUUGACCUCUCGGUCCAUUAUCUCUACUGGUUCCUCCACAAAGUUGAGGCUGUGGUUGAUCUCGAUCUCGUCGAGUGGAAUAACAAGAGUCUCGUCGGACAGACACUUUUUCAAGUUCGAGACGUGGAAGGUAGGAUGUAUGUUACUGAGUUCUUGUGGUAGAUUGAGUUUGUAAGCCACAAGGCCCAUUCUCGCGAGAAUCUCGAAAGGCCCUAUGUAUCAUGGAUUGAGCUUCCCACGCUUCCCAAAGCGUAUGAAGCCCUUCCAGGGUGAGACCUUCAGUAGGACUCGGUCGCCCACCUAGAACUCCAAUGGUUUCCUACGCUUGUCAGUGUAGCUUUUCUGUCGGUCUCUAGAGGCUUUCAGUCGUUCACGAAUUUGAACGAUCUUCUCUGUCGUUUCCCGAAUGAUCUUCGGACCCGUGAGAGUGCUUUCGGGAGCUCGAACCUUAGCUAACUAGGUAUCACCCACUUCAGCCCAGCACAUAGGGGAUCUGCAAUUUCGGCCAUAGAGGGCCUAGAAUGGAGCUGCCUUGAUGCUCGUAUGAUAACUGUUGUUGUAGGAAAAUGCAACAAGGGGUAGAUGGGUAUCCCAAGCUUUUUCAAAGUCAAUCACACAGGCACGCAACAUAUCUUCUAAGGUUUGGAUAGUUCUCUCACUUUGCCCGUCGGUCUGUGGAUGGUAGGCUGUAAUCAUGUCCAGCUUAGUUCCUAGGGAACUUUGUACUGACUGCCAGAACCUCGAAGUGAAUCUACUAUCUCGGUCUGAGAUGAUAGAUAAAGGAACACCGUGCAGCCUUACAAUCUCCCUAAUGUAAGUUCUGGUAAGUUUCUCCAUCUUGUCUGUUUCUUUGAUCGGUAGGAAGUGUGCAGACUUGGUCAGUCUAUCGACGAUGACCCAUAUGGAAUCAAGUCCACCCGUCGUCUUGGGCAACUUGGUUGUGAAGUCCAUAAUGAUCCGCUCCCACUUCCAUUCUGGUAUCUCCGGUUGCUGUAAAAGACCGGAGGGUUUCUGGUAUUCGACCUUGACCUUUGUGAAAGUAAGGCAUUUACUCACAAAGGCAGCAAUAUCUGCUUUCAUGUUAGGCCACCAGUAUAACUUUUUAAGAUCCAGAUACAUCUUAUCUGAACCUGGGUGGACGGAAUAACGAGUGUUGUGAGCUUUUCUCAUGACCAAGUCUCUGAAGCCACUUUGUUUCCGUGUCCAGAUCCGAUCCAUGAGGUAUUAGGCUCCGCCACCCUUGGCUUCUAAGUUCUUAUCCAUUCCUCCAAGGGAUUCACCAGCCACGUUUUCAGGUUUCAAAGCGUCGAGUUGAGCCUCCUUUAUUUGCGUGGACAAGUGUGAAUGGAUAGUUAGACUCAUAGAUUUGACUCUACGACCAGUAUAUUCUUUCCGACUUAGGGCGUCGGCUACUACAUUAGCUUUACCCGGAUCAUAAUGAAUUUUGCACUCGUAAUCACUGAGUAGCUCGACCCAUCGUCGUUGUCUCAUGUUGAGCUCUUUCUGGUCGAAAAUGUGUUGUAGACUCUUAUGGUCUGUAAAGAUCGUGCUUUUUGUACCGUACAGGUAAUGUCGCCAGAUCUUCAGAGCAAACACAACUGCUCCUAGUUCAAGAUCGUGGGUUGUGUAGUUAACCUCAUGUGUCUUCAGCUGUCUCGAGGCAUAGGCUAUGACUUUACCUCGCUGCAUCAGAACACAUCCGAGCCCUUGGUUUGAUGCGUCGCAAUAGACCACGAAGUCUUAUAUCCCUUCGGGGAGGGACAGUAUUGGUGCGGUGCAUAAGGCUCGUUUGAGCGGUUGGAACGCUCUUUUUUGUUUCUCUUCCCAGUCAAAGGCUACGCCUUUCUGGGUCAGUGUCGUAAGAGGUUUUACUAUGCGGGAGAAGUUCUCAAUGAACCUGCGAUAGUAGCCAGCGAGACCUAGAAAUUGACGAGUUUCUGUAGGUGUCUUUGGUGCUGACCAGUUCUCGAUGGCCUUAAUUUUGGAAGGGUCCACGUGUAUACCUUCUUCGCUAAUAACAUGGCCCAAAAAUUCGACUCGUCGAAUCCAAAAUUCGCACUUAGAGAACUUCGCGUAGAGCUUCUCCGAUCGCAAUGUUUCUAAGAUUUUACGGAGAUGUUGGCUGUGUUCCUCCUUACUUUGAGAGUAGAUGAGUAUGUCAUCAAUGAAGACGAUGACGAAUUGAUCCAAGUAAGGACGACACACCUUAUUCAUCAGAUCCAUGAAUACUGCAGACGCGUUAGUUAAUCCGAAUGGCAUCACUACGAACUCGUAGUGUCCAUAACGAGUUCGGAAGGCUGUCUUGGGAACAUCCUCCUAUAACACUCGUAGUUGGUGAUAUCCGAAUCGUAGAUCUAUCUUCGAGAAGUAGUUGGCUCCUUGAAGUUGAUCAAAUAAAUCGUCAAUGCGGGGCAAAGGAUAACGAUUUUUAAUGGUAAGUUUGUUGAGUUCUCUAUAGUCGAUGCACAUGCGAAACGAUCCAUCUUUCUUCUUGACGAACAAGACCGGUGCUCCCCAUGGUGAGAAGCUUGGUCGAAUGAAUCCCUUCUUGAGAAGUUCGUUAAGUUGACUGGAAAGUUCCUGCAUUUCAGCCGGUGCCAGACGAUAAGGAGAUUUGGCUACGGGGGUAGCCCCUGGCACUAAGUCGAUUCUAAACUCGACUUGGCGUUGCGGUGGUAAACCGGGAAGUUCUUCUGGGAAUAUGUCGGGGAAGUCGCGUACUUCUGGGAUGUUCUGAAUGUCUUUCAGUUCUUGACUGGUAUCGACGACGUGUGCGAGGAAUGCAUGGUACUCCUUCCGCAAGCACUUCUGGGCUUGAAUGCACGAAAUGAUGCGAAGGCUCGUACUAGGUUUGUCGCCGUAGAUAAUUAAAGUUUCGUUGUUAGGAAGGUUAAGACGAACUGCUUUUUCGAAGCACAUAAUGUCGGCACGAAGAAGACUCAACCAAUCCAUACCGAUGAUAACGUCGAAACAUUUAAUUGGGACUGGCAUGAGAUCUAUCUUGAAAGUAUGGCCAUCUAAAGUUAAGGUACAACCUACGUAUAUGCAGUUUGUACUCUCUGUUUUCCCGUUAGCCAUUUCUACCGUGAAUGAAUUAUCUAAUGCACAUGGUUUUUGUUUAAGCAGGUGUGCAAAUUUGUGACUUACAAAACUUUUCUCUGCUCCACUAUCGAAAAGUAUGCAAGCAUAUGAGUUAUCGAGGAGAAACGUACCAGUAACUAUCGUAGGAUCAGCUACCGCUUCCUCGUGGCCUAGGGCCAUAACUCUCCCUACUCCUCCAACCAUCCCUGCUUUAGGGCAGUUCCUCUUGUAGUGGCCCACUUCGCCACAACCGUAGCAAGCUUGGCCCAUACCGGCGUUAGGAACCUGGGCGGCCUGAGUUGUUGGAGCCUGCCAGAAACGGGCUGUGUGCCCCUUCCUGUUGCAGUUGGUGCAUUGCAUCUCCCUACAAGGCCCGCGGUGGUGGAAACUGCAUUUGUUGUACUUCGGGAGAGAUCCAACAUAAGUUUUUGCUGGUAAGGGGUUCGCAGGGACAACGGGGGUCACUGUGGCAGCAUUGAUGGCCACAAGUUGUUGUCUCUUGGAGGAUCCUUGCGAAGCCCCCUUUUCCUCUUAGACCACCCUUUCUUGUUGUUGUCAGGGUUGGACUUUUGGGGUACAGGUGUAGGGAUUGUUGGGUUCUGAGGUUUCCGGUGAUCGAUGAAAGAUUCUGCCAGUUCCUUGGCGCUAUCGAAGGUAAUAGGCCUGGAAGCGAUCACACUUUACUGGAUCUGGGGCGCCAGUCCCCAGAUAUAUCUCUCUAUCUUUUUGCUCUCAAGAGCAACCAUAUCAGGGCAUAAGUUUUCCAGAUCAUAGAACCUAUUUGUGUAGGUCGUGAUGUCAGAUCCAACCAUUUGAAGACCCUAGAAUUCCUGCUCGAGUUUCUGUACUUCACUUCGAGGACAGUAUUCUUUCAUCAGCAUGUCUUACAACUUUUCUCAACUGAUGGAAUAUGCCACCACCAAAGUCAGAUAGUUAACAUGGCUGUUCCACCACGUUAGUGCUCUGUCAGAGAAGGUACAAGCUGCAAACUUGACCUUGUUGCCCUCCUGGCAAGCACAGAUUUGAAAGACGGAUUCCAUCUUUUCAAUCCAUUGUCUCAACACCAUAACACCCCCAGUUCCAUUGAAGCUGUGGGGUUUGGUGUUCAUGAAGUCCUUGUAGGUGCAUUCCCGAGGGUGUCCAUGGCUUUCGCCGUGGUUCGAGGGAGGUACACCUGUUCCCGAUCCACUAGGGGCAGGAGCGUUGAUUGCUGACACAGCAGCUGCAACUGCUGCUAUGAAAGCUGCCUGGAACAUGUUGGCAUCAAAAGGAUUAGGUGUUUGAAGAGGUUCAGGUGGUGGUGGGGGUGGUGAUAUCGGUGCUUCGUUGUUUGGGUUACGCCUUGUAUUUCUGCGUGGCGGGAUCUUUAACUAUACGUUUAAAAGAUGACGACAUGGGUAAGAAUAAAUGAUUAAUGAACGUGUCUCAUGGACUAACUCCCCAUAGCCCAACAACAGAAGGAAUAGUAUGACUAAAUCAAGAUAACAGUAUUUGGAUAAUAAUUUCCAUAUGAUUAGAUAUCUGUCAAUAAUACUGGAAUUAUAGAUGUAACAAGUUCGGGAAAAAUUGGCCUAGAAGUAGGCCUUACAUCAACCAAGAUGGAAAAUUUUGACAGAAUUAAGACUAGAUCAAGACCUAACAGGUCUAAGAUUUAUAAAGAUAGGAAAUUAGACCAAAUUUUUACAUAAAAUAGGUUAUAUCCAAAAGAUGAGUUGACGAGAUUCUAUCGGCGACGAGAGCUGCUAGCAUGAGUCCUCGAUCGCAACAGUAGACGUUUAAUGUCCAUUAUACGCCUGUCCGACCUUGCUUGCUGAGCUCGAAGUUCUCUAACUUCAGCUCGGGUUUCGGCAAGUUCCCUCUGCAGAUUUGCAUUGCAGACCAGAGUCCUUUCAUGAGCAGACUCAAGUUGGCGAAUGUGGACAGUGUUAACACCAGAGUUGGCGUCAACUUCCAAGACUUCAUUGAUAGUCGCCUGAGCCAUUAUCGAGUUCCAAGAAAUCCUACGCACCAUGAUUGGUAGGACUCUAUCAGCAGAACCUCCUUCGGUGAGGUUGUAGAAACUUCGGUCUCCAUUGUAGGGAAUGGGCUGACCUUGUUCCUGGCUCCAUGUAUUCAUGUUCGUGGCCCACAGGGGUGUGGGUCCUUGAAACACAGGGCGGGGGUUCAGGUUUGGGUUUUGAGCACCUGGGGGUAGGUUGUUGACUUUAGGCUCUGAGUCAGAACUAUCGGAAAAACCCUCAGCAUGGUGAUCAUCCAAAUGGAUUGGCUGAUCAUCUUCUGGUUCUGCCUCUGGCCAACCAACAUUGCCUUGGUUUGGGAAGUACGGGUCGCCAUGAUGAAAUCCAGCCAUUUUAAUCUACGCGAGAAAAGGGAUAUAAGAAAUAGCUAAAAUAGACGAACUAACUAAGAUAAUUACAAUGAGACUAAAUACCCCUAUGGUAUUUCUUAAUGGUUGUGUUGGUAAGUUUUUAGACUUGUUUCCAUAUCACAACCAUUCUUGGGCAUAUGCUAAUCACUCCUCGGACCAGCAUAGUUGAUCAGGCUAUGCCAUUCCUAAGACUGACCAUAUAUCCCCAGGCUUACUUGUGAUAUUCAACAAUCGUAAUACUUUUGUUCUUGUCAUUGUGACACUGAUUUUAGUAUGAAUGCAGGCACGUAUACUUUGUUAAAUAUUUUAUUAUUUAAAAGUAUAACUCUUAGACAGAGUGUUUUAAUCCCAAUGUAUUUAUAGUUAGUAUAUCUUUUAUGGGUUGAUAUACUAAAUUCACUAUAAACAAUGCUCUGAUACCAAUAUGUCACACCCCAAAACCACGAACGGCGGAAACGUUCAGGGGUGGAGGACGUCAUGUACAGUAUCACAACAGUGUAAUAUAAUAAACAAGCAACAACAUCAUCCAUUGCAUUAUAAGUAGAGUUUUAAUACAUGUGUGUUCUUUCAUAAUGUACAACAAUAAAAUGAAUAAUCAAAAUAAGGCGAGUCUUGUCUGUGCUCCAUCUUCUCAAAAACCUGGCCAUCGCACCUGUCUAACUGAUGACCUGAGAAUACAAGUUAUUUUGAAAGCGAGUAUCAGCUUUAAAGCUGGUGAAUUCAUAAGUAUUUAGGUGUCAUUGUCUGGCUUAUGAAAAUCUAUUAUGAAGGCCAUGUAAACCUUUAAUGAAAAUGUUGAUGUAAGUAUGAAAAACCCUAGAAAAUCCCUUGCUUUCUAUAAGUAUGAAAUGUAGUCUUCUACCAAGACCCGAAUGUUUUGUUAUGAUAAUGUAGUCUUCUACCAAGACCCGAAUGUUUUGUUAUGACAAUGUAGUCUUCUACCAAGACCCGAAUGUUUUGUAAGUAAAAUGAUAGUUUUUCCUUUAAUUGUUUAGUACUAAAGUACUUAGUCUAACUCAUCGUUUAUGUGAAAGUAUCACAAAAUAAAGUAAACAGGAAAAUGUACUACUGUAAGUGUUGUCACUGGGUACUAGGACUAACACAACAUCGCAUUAAGCGAAAUAUGUAACCUAAUGAACAUCCGAAGAUUGUCCAGAAAAAGUAUUAAUGUAAGUGUCAUCGCUGGGUACUAGGAGUAACACAACAUCGCAAUAAGCGAAAAGUAUAACCUUAUG
rnacentral:lncRNA from 1 species